rnacentral:rRNA from 1 species
UACGGAGGGUGCAAGCGUUAUCCGGAUUCACUGGGUUUAAAGGGUGCGUAGGAGGGCAGGUAAGUCAGUGGUGAAAUCUCCGAGCUUAACUUGGAAACUGCCGUUGAUACUAUCUGUCUUGAAUAUCGCGUAGGUAAGCGGAAUAUGUCAUGUAGCGGUGAAAUGCUUAGAUAUGACAUAGAACACCAAUUGCGAAGGCAGCUUACUUCACGAUCAUUGACACUGAGGCACGAAAGCGUGGGGAGCAAACAGG